UCUCUCUCUCUCUAUCUCACACUCUCUCUCUCUCUGGGCCUGUUUCCACACUUUUCCAUCAGCACAGGUGAACAGGGUGAGUAUGAAACACUAUCGUGGGACUGACUGUGUUGAAAAUCCAGCCACUUCCAGAGCUGAACAGAACACCUUUUCUCCUCCAGUUGACUGGGAAAAACAGCAAAAGAAGAUUGAGAAAUCACUGGAAGGAGAUUGCAUUACCAGCAUUCACUCAUCGCUCUCAAACAAUGAACCCUGUACAGUAAGCUUCACAUGGACAUGGCCGUCAUGAGAAGAUAUAUGGAGGCAAUGCCUUGAGGCUUCCCAGCCCCCAUUGUGAGGACUGCCAGUUCUGUUUGGGUUCAUUGUUCUCGUCUAAUCAGCCAUGGCAAAUGUGAAGCCCUCCAGCUCAUUACGUAUUCGCACACAGAAGUGACCAUGGGAAGUUUUCGGAGGCCCAGCAUGAGCUGAUGAAUUACCUGCCUAGACAACACCUAGUGAAUCUGCACUGUUGCCGGGGCAGUGGUUUCUGACGGGACUGUCGACUCAUCGUUCAUCCUGGUGGUCAAACAACCCCCCCACUUCUCCAACCAGCUUGAGUUUCACUAUUGCCGUCUCGUCUUUCAGCACCUCUGCCCCCCUUCCACACACUCUGUGCUCUGUUUACAAACUUCUGCUAACGAUGGCCGCCCUGACGAGCUUAUACAAGGCCUGUUGGCAGUAGUGUCUGACAUUUAUCCUUCGUUUACCAGGACAAAAUGUGAUAUCAAACACUGAAAAAUAUAAUAUUCCUUAGACUUUAUUAACAGAUAAAAUUUACUCUUGCGUAAAAGCUCAUCUACCAUCUUCAUCAGUGGAUCUUAACUGGAUAGUUGGGACCUCAAAAUGGGUCACAAAUGUGUUCUAAUGGUAGACAGAAGAGGAAAAGGAUGCUAAAUCAAAUCAUAAAAUGCAGCUAACCCAAUAAUUGGUUGUAGUUAGGAUAAAUAAAUAAUUCUGGUCAGGGAAAACACUUUCCUAAUCUUUUGAUUCUGAUGCAAAUUUGUGAGGUUGUCGGGUCAGUAAUGGAUCAGUGACAUUGAGCAAUGUCCAUAAAUGAUAAAUAAAUGUUUUAAAAAUCUAGUUAAAAUGCAUGUGGCAAAUUUUUGCAUAUGUAUUCUAUUUAAACCUAAAUUCUAAAAAUUUCUAGAAAAUUUUACAUUUGAAUGACUAAAAUGUAAUGUAGUGUAACCAUCAAAUAAAAAGUAAUAACAUUUUAUUUACACCUUGAAUACAUCUUAGUGUACAACAUAUUGGGCAUUAUUUUCAAAAAGGUGUUUUAUUUUUAUGAGUACAACAACUUCACUGAUGAAGAGCCCUUUAAAAGGACAACUUUGUACCCCGAAAAUGUGCAGAUUAGUUUUUGUUUAUUUUAGAGUAGUAAUAUGUACUCUUAAAGUACCACUAUAAACCUUAAAGGAGUAGAUAAGGUACAAAGUUAUCUCUUUAAGGGUACCUAGGACAAGGGACAAGCUGUUGUACCCCUUUAUCAGAGAAUGCAGAAAUCAACAGCUUACUUUUGCACAAUACACAAUGUUGGAACUUUUUAGAACCACCUAUUAAAUGCACCAGCUUUAGAAAAUCACCUGCAUAUUUUUGGCUCUAGAGGUUGUUCUGGAGUUGGACAGGUUCUGUGACCACUGGGACCUUAUUUUAGUGAGUAGUAGGGGCGGCAGCUGCCAGUUGUAUAGGUUAACAUUACAAUAAUUUGAG